GAUGAAGAACGCAGCGAAAUGCGAUAAGUAAUGUGAAUUGCAGAAUUCAGUGAAUCAUCGAAUCUUUGAACGCACAUUGCGCCCGCCAGUAUUCUGGCGGGCAUGCCUGUCUGAGCGUCAUUUCAACCCUCACGCCCCUAGGGCGUGGUGUUGGGGAUCGGCCAAAGCCCGCGAGGGACGGCCGGCCCCUAAAUCUAGUGGCGGACCCGUCGUGGCCUCCUCUGCGAAGUAGUGAUAUUCCGCAUCGGAGAGCGAUGAGCCCCUGCCGUUAAACCCCCAACUUUCCAAGGUUGACCUCAGAUCAGGUAGGAAUACCCGCUGAACUUAAGCAUAUCAAUCAGCGGAGGA
rnacentral:misc_RNA from 1 species